UUGCCUUAGCCCAGUACCCUAACCCAUUCCAUUUUUAUUUUUAGUUAUUUAAAUUUUUUAAAGCCCAAAGGGCUCGGGCCCUAGCUUUUGUUUUGGCCUUGGGCCGGUUUUUAAUCAAGGGCUUAAAGCCCUGUUUUCUGUAGUGAGGCCUGAGGGCCUUGUGCCCGUGUGUGUGUGUGGCUAAGUUUAUAUGUUUGGGCUUAAUGCCCAAACCCCUUUCCAUCCCCUUUUAAUUCUAGAGCCCUAGGUUCCCAAAACCCAUUAAAAACCCUAAACCCAUCCAAUCCCAAAUCCCUUAUUUAAAUUAAUUCAAAACCAAUCUUUUAGAAAAAUCAUUUUAUUAAUUAUACAUUCUUGUUCUUAGGUAAAAUUGCUAGUGGAGAAAUUCUAAAUCCUUAUUCCCGCAACUCUUCUGCUAAGGAAUAUUUGACUUAGAAUCAAGGCACCUAAUCCCGGCGUGGAGACACUUCCGCAGCAGCAUCUUCGGAUCCUCUCGAUGUAGGACCCACUCCUUUAUUCGUUAAAUUUUAUCUUAAUUCCUUUUAGUGAUUAGGUUUAAUUGUAUGCUCUGAGCACGUUCCUAAAUUAUAAAUUCUUGGUAUUUUAAAUUCAUAACCCUUAUUUAUUUCUUA